UAACCAUGCAUGCCUGGCCCAAAAGUCAGAGGAGCUGAAGGAGGAUCCAGGGGGAGGUAGAGCAACUGCAUGUCCAGUCACUGCUUCACACCAAUGAGGGAGAGUGGUAACGCCUGAGCAAGGCGAGGAGCAGAGGCAGAGAACAGCAGGCAGCCACCCUGCUGAGCGCAGAGCCCUCCACCAGGCCCAAUCCCAUCACCCCGAGACCAGGACUUGAAAUGAAAUCAAGAGCCGAUGCUCAACCAACUGAGCCACCCAGGAAAGGCUGGAAGAAUAUAUACCUAAGUAUUACCAACACUGGUUAUUUCUGUGGAAUAGAAAUGUCUUGGAAAUUGGGGCGAAGGGACUAAAAAUUUCAUAAAUUUCUGUUUUGCUUGAUUUUCUACAUGAGGCAUGUACAAUUUUGUAAUUUAAAAACC